rnacentral:lncRNA from 1 species
UAGGCAAAUAUCCCCUUUGGCGUGGUGGAAUUAAGCAUACAUUGAUAAGCCAUUGAAUUUCUUAAGAUGUGUUUGGUUAUAUUUUUAAUUUUUAAUUUUUAAUUUUUAAAAAAUAUUUUUUAUUUUUUAAUUUUUAUUAUUGAAUAAAAAUAAAAAUUAUAUUCGUUAAUUACGUUGUUAUAAAAUAAAAAGUAAUAUUUGGAGACGACAG